rnacentral:rRNA from 1 species
UACAGAGGGUGCGAGCGUUAAUCGGAAUUACUGGGCGUAAAGCGCACGUAGUCGGCUUUGCAAGUCGGGUGUGAAAUCCCCGGGCUUAACCUGGGAAUGGCGUCUGAAACUACGGAGCUGGAGUGUGGCAGAGGGAGGUAGAAUUCCACGUGUAGCGGUGAAAUGCGUAGAUAUGUGGAGGAAUACCGAUGGCGAAGGCAGCCUCCUGGGCCAACACUGACGCUCAUGCACGAAAGCGUGGGGAGCAAACAGG